rnacentral:rRNA from 1 species
GAUGAACGCUGGCGGCGUGCCUAAUACAUGCAAGUCGAGCGAACGGACGAGAAGCUUGCUCCUCUGAUGUUAGCGGCGGACGGGUGAGUAACACGUGGAUAACCUACCUAUAAGACUGGGAUAACUUCGGGAAACCGGAGCUAAUACCGGAUAAUAUUUUGAACCGCAGGGUUCAAAAGUGAAAGACGGUUUUGCUGUCACUUAUAGAUGGAUCCGCGCUGCAUUAGCUAGUUGGUAAGGUAACGGCUUACCAAGGCAACGAUGCGUAGCCGACCUGAGAGGGUGAUCGGCCACACUGGAACUGAGACACGGUCCAGACUCCUACGGGAGGCAGCAGUAGGGAAUCUUCCGCAAUGGGCGAAAGCCUGACGGAGCAACGCCGCGUGAGUGGUGAAGGUCUUCGGAUCGUAAAACUCUGUCAUUAGGGAAGAACAUAUGUGUAAGUAACUGUGCACGUCUUGACGGUACCUAAUCAGAAAGCCACGGCUAACUACGUG